rnacentral:misc_RNA from 1 species
UGGCUGCUAAGUUAUCCCCUGCCUUUCAUCUUGAUCGAGUUCCUGGUGCAGCUUUGCAAAUGCAAAAUGAAUUACGAUGGUUUAUGGAAAUGGAGAGCAUGGUACCAGCGAAGUACAAGGAGCGAACCAAUGAAAAUGGUCAUACACUUAGUGCUUUAUUCACUAAGGAACAUGCAGAGUUGAUGAAACAAGGCGAGACAUGGAUGAAGAAUACCAUAGCUUCAUAUAUGGUUGUGG